UCACUCGCUUACGAGUGGGCGUCCGGCGAAACUGCUCGGCUUGGGACCGGAAGAUCCAAGGGGUACGUCCGGGGUAGGAGUGAAAUCCCGUAAUCCUGGACGGACCACCGAUGGCGAAAGCACCUUGGAAGGACGGAUCCGACAGUGAGGGACGAAAGCUAGGGUCUCGAACCGGAUUAGAUACCCGGGUAGUCCUAGCCGUAAACGAUGCUCGCUAGGUGUGGCGCAGGCUACGAGCCUGCGCUGUGCCGUAGGGAAGCCGUGAAGCGAGCCGCCUGGGAAGUACGUCUGCAAGGAUGAAACUUAAAGGAAUUGGCGGGGGAGCACUACAACCGGAGGAGCCUGCGGUUUAAUUGGACUCAACGCCGGACAUCUCACCAGCUCCGACAGCAGUAAUGACGGUCAGGUUGAUGACCUUACCCGACGCUGCUGAGAGGAGGUGCAUGGCCGCCGUCAGCUCGUACCGUGAGGCGUCCUGUUAAGUCAGGCAACGAGCGAGACCCGCACCUCUAGUUGCCAGCAGCAUCUUGCGAUGGCUGGGUACACUAGGGGGACUGCCGUCGCUAAGACGGAGGAAGGAACGGGCAACGGUAGGUCAG
rnacentral:rRNA from 1 species